rnacentral:ncRNA from 1 species
AUUCCGGCAAUGAAGAGGAUUAGUAGUCGAAUAUGAACCUUAAGAGAAGGGGUGGUUGGUGAGAACCCUGAGGUUAAUAACGAUGAAGCUGCCUUGGAGCUGAUUUUCCGAAAGAGAUGGACAUAUGUCCAUAAUUAGGGUGGUACCGCGGAAGCAUGGCUUUCGUCCCUUGU